UGCCCCGAGUCCCCGAAAUAGCCCCCGAUGAGCUCGCAGUAUUUUCCUUAUAUGAUCAGGCCCCGUUGGUGGCGACGCCGCUAGCCCGGAGCCUGAAAAGAUUAUGAAAAUGUGUCCGGCGAAGUGGGGCUGGGGACCGGGAG
ensembl:scaRNA